UGGUCUGUCUUAGAACUCUAGAACUCGCAGCAUUCUGAACAAGCUGUAGUUGCCUUAGUUUUUUUUGGGAUAGCCUACUUGUAAGGAGACCAUUGCCGUAAUCAAGCUUACUAGUGAUAAAGGCAUGUACAAGAUGUUUAAGUCUUCGGUGGACAUGAGCCCUCUAAGCCUUGCUACGUUUUAAAGGUGAUAAAAUGCUGUUGUUGUAACCGAUUUGAUGUGGCUGCCGAAAUCUAAAUCUGAAUCCAUGAUGCCCCCUAGUUUUCUGGCUUUCAUUGAGGUUUUCAGGAACAGAAAGUGAAGGUGUUGGGUUACUUUAAGCCUUUCCGUUUUAGCACCAAAUACAACACUAUGAGUUUGUUCCAGGUUGUCAGCAUUGUGGUUUCCUAAAUGCAGUGAUCAACAAAUUGAUUUAAAACAUGUCAACUAAACACUGGAAGCCCCAAAUAUGGUCAUAACGGCACUGCACAUUUGAGUUACAAAGUCCUAUUUUGUACCAAAUGUGUCCUAAAAAUAUAGAUAAAUUAACCUUUAUAAUAAAUACUGGCUAUAGGCAGUAGUAUGCACGCUAUAUCUUCAAGCAACGUAUGUACUUUAUAGACUUGUUCUGAGGGCGCCUGGCCAUUUUAAUCAGUUCGAAAGUAGAGAAUGUCCUCAGCUGAACACUGCAGCUAAUCAGACUGCUGAUCGAUAGCAAAUCAAUGCGGCUGCGACCCGAAUCGAACAUGUCGGGGGAGGAUACAGUCACGUGCUCCGGACGUUUCUCUAAUCUAUACACAUGUGGAGUGGACACCAAACAUGUGGGUGGAGGUUGAAGGUCCGUCGCAGCAGCUGGCUGCGGAUGGUGUUAAUGAUGUUAAUAACGCUGAUCAAGUGGCGCCAAUCUUCAUUAAAAUCUGCGCCCUCGUUCACAUGCGUCUCACGACGGGACGUCAGUCGUGAGUAUCGAUUCACCAGGAUAAGCGACCAUCAUCUUCCUCCCUCAGCCUCUUAUCUUCACGAAGCUCUGGUCGCUCAACAAAGCUAGGCAGAGGUAGACCACUGUUUCGGUCAUUCACGCAAGAACACUGUGUUGUAGAGUGGUAUGAGAAGUAGAAAACCCCAAUUUAUUUUGGGAAGUAAAGGAGAUUCCUUCUCAUUCCUUCCUUCCCUAACCCUAAUCUCUUUAUAGAAGUCUACACUUGCUUUCAACAAAGACUUUGUUAUUGUGUUCUUAAACAGUUUGUGCAUGUUAUUGGGGGGAUGGGGAAUUCAUGACAAGUUGAAUCAUUUUUGGUUAUGCUUACUGUCAUUGAAAAGUUAUAUGUUUACAUGGUACAAUGUUUCAUCUGGAGAUCUGGAAAUAUCUGUUUAAUUGAAUGGGUUCGUUCAAUUUAAAGGGGGAGGAAUGUUGUAGAGUGGUAUACUGACAUCCGACCACUAGAGGCAGUAGUGCUAUUGCUCUCUACAAGAAGCUACCGCUUAUUAUCCUGAGGCUGAGCACACCUGUUGAUGUAGGAAUGCUAUGCUGUGAGUGCUAGGUUCCCUGGUGGACAAUAAACAUGCGAAGAGUAA